UACGUAGGGUGCGAGCGUUGCCCGGAUUUAUUGGGCGUAAAGGGCGCGCAGGCGGUCACGCACGUCCGUUGUGAAAUCGCUCGGCUCAACUGGGCGGGGUCAGCGGAUACGGCGCGACUGGAGCAAGCUAGGGGGCAAUGGAAUUCCCGGUGUAGUGGUGGAAUGCGUAGAGAUCCGGAAGAACACCGGUGGCGAAGGCGGUGAGCUGGGCAAUUGCUGACACUGAGGCGCGACAGCGUGGGGAGCAAACAGG
rnacentral:rRNA from 1 species